UUACUGGAUUGCUAGGUUAACUUUUAAAGUUGCCAGCUUUUGCUAAAGAAAAGCCUGAAAUGGAGAAAUGGCAGUGCAGCGGAGGCAGAGCUAGGGAAUUAGGGCAGAGCCCAGGGAGAGGGUCGAGUUAAGUAAGUAGAGCAGGAUCAUCUUCCACCAACAAUCAACUGACUUAAGAUAAACAGACACCCACUGGCUUCGCAUUGCUAUAGUAUGGCCAACUUCCUGGUAUCGGAUCUCCGCGCAAGUGCAGCCCCCAAGAAGUGGCAUCAGCUGUGACCUGGAAGUCGGUUAUUUUCAAUACAUUGGAAGAUAAACUAAUUGUGGAUCUCCUGUACAAACAAACCCAGCCUUAACAACAAUGUAUUAAUUGUGACCAGCAAAGUGAAAAUUGUAUCAAUCACGAAUAAAAUUCAAUUACAAGCCUUGAUCCAGCA